CCUACGGGUGGCAGCAGUGGGGAAUAUUGGACAAUGGGGGCAACCCUGAUCCAGCCAUGCCGCGUGUGUGAAGAAGGCCCUCGGGUUGGAAAGCACUUUCAGUGAGGAAGAACGCCUGGUGGUUAAUACCCAUCAGGAAAGACAUCACUCACAGAAGAAGCACCGGCUAACUCCGUGCCAGCAGCCGCGGUAAUACGGAGGGUGCGAGCGUUAAUCGGAAUUACUGGGCGUAAAGCGCGCGUAGGUGGCUUGAUAAGCCGGUUGUGAAAGCCCCGGGCUCAACCUGGGAACGGCAUCCGGAACUGUCAAGCUAGAGUGCAGGAGAGGAAGGUAGAAUUCCCGGUGUAGCGGUGAAAUGCGUAGAGAUCGGGAGGAAUACCAGUGGCGAAGGCGGCCUUCUGGACUGACACUGACACUGAGGUGCGAAAGCGUGGGUAGCAAACAGGAUUAGAUACCCGGGUAGUC
rnacentral:rRNA from 1 species